UAAUACGUAGGGUCCAAGCGUUAAUCGGAAUUACUGGGCGUAAAGCGUGCGCAGGCGGUUGUGCAAGACCGAUGUGAAAUCCCCGAGCUUAACUUGGGAAUUGCAUUGGUGACUGCACGGCUAGAGUGUGUCAGAGGGGGGUAGAAUUCCACGUGUAGCAGUGAAAUGCGUAGAGAUGUGGAGGAAUACCGAUGGCGAAGGCAGCCCCCUGGGAUAACACUGACGCUCAUGCACGAAAGCGUGGGGAGCAAACAGGAUUAGAUACCCUGGUAGUCCACGCCCUAAACGAUGUCAACUAGUUGUUGGGGAUUCAUUUCCUUAGUAACGUAGCUAACGCGUGAAGUUGACCGCCUGGGGAGUACGGUCGCAAGAUUAAAACUUAAAUGAAUUGACGG
rnacentral:rRNA from 1 species